ACAAAUCAUGAUUGCGUGUGGGGGCCCGUCCUCCAUGCGUAUAUUGACCCGACCCGGGUGUCCGAAAGGUAUCCGGGUCAAUCUUGAGGGGCGUGCUAGCGUGCGUUCCUCGAGACAUUUACGCUUGUAUUGUUUGACAGAGUAAAAUUGACACUAAAAGAUA
rnacentral:misc_RNA from 1 species